AGCGAACGCUGGCGGCAGGCUUAACACAUGCAAGUCGAGCGGGCACUUUCGGGUGUCAGCGGCGGACGGGUGAGUAACGCGUGGGAACGUGCCCUCUGGUUCGGAAUAACUCAGGGAAACUUGAGCUAAUACCGGAUACGCCCUUUUGGGGAAAGGCUUGCUGCCGGAGGAUCGGCCCGCGUCUGAUUAGCUAGUUGGUGAGGUAACGGCUCACCAAGGCGACGAUCAGUAGCUGGUCUGAGAGGAUGAUCGGCCACACUGGGACUGAGACACGGCCCAGACUCCUACGGGAGGCAGCAGUGGGGAAUAUUGGACAAUGGGCGCAAGCCUGAUCCAGCCAUGCCGCGUGAGUGAUGAAGGCCUUAGGGUUGUAAAGCUCUUUUAUCCGGGACGAUAAUGACGGUACCGGAGGAAUAAGCCCCGGCUAACUUCG
rnacentral:rRNA from 1 species